AGGACCUCCAUGUGAAGAAAGGCAGCUGAGUCGACUUUUCCUCCGAUGUAUUUUUUUCCAAUCCGGAGGAGAGAUUAGGGUUAGAUCUGAACGAAAACCCUAAAUCUAGUCGCCGCCGCCCCCGCCUCUUUCAAUUGUAGGCGGCUGUCUCGCGAUAGAGAGGGAAAUUCGUCAAGAGAUUCAGAUCCAGGGCUCACCGGCGACGAUGUACGACGACGAUGACGACGAGGAUACGAGUACCGGGAUCUCAGGAUCUUACACUGGAUUGGGAGGUGUUGGAAAAAUAUCAGGGAAUAUACUGUAACGAAUGUGGACGUCCAGGUACACCAUUUAGUUUGGUGUUGAAAAUGCUGCAGGAAUAUUUUCCCUUACCUCAUUUAUGCUAUUGAUGUCAGCAUCCAGACUUAGGCAGCUCCAUGUUUUUGGGUUUAUGAUUUUGGCAACGUUUAUUGGAGUUAUUUGGAGCUUAGCCAUGUUCUGCUUUUACAUGGUUCUGAUGAUAAAAAAACGCACAAUUACAUCGUGUCUACCUGGUCUUUCUUGUUGUAGGAGACCUCAUUGCUGCAUUUGUACAUUCAUCAUCAGCAAUGCAAUCACUUGCACCGGCACUCUUUUUCGUUAUAGACACCAAAUGGUGCUCCGUUAUGUACCCCAAGGAGUGCGAGUUUCUUUUUCUAACAAUUGGAGUAGAUAUGACUGCAUGGUUCUACGCAUUCAUUUCCUUCAUAUUUGUUUUUCAGGCACCGAAUCUCACGGAGGGGUCAGUAAGAAAACGGUAUUGGGCUAAUAAACUUCAAGGUAUCAGACGCUACCUUAUGUAUCCAAGGAGAGCAAGUUUCUUUUUCUAGCAAUUGGAGUAGAUAUGACUAUGGUUCUGCGCAUUCAUUUCCUUCAUAUUUGUGCUUAGGUACCGAAUCUCACGAUAGUAUAAAAUAAUUUUUUUGUUAUAUGUCUUUGUAUUGUCUUGGCUCUACUUAACCAAAACCUAAUGUAGAGUCUUUUUAUUUGGCAAAUUGUUGAGCAAGAGGGAUCAGUAAGAAAACAGUAUUGUGCUAAUAAACUUCAAGGUAUCAGACGCUACCUGUAGGAAAUCAGGUGAAAUGUAUCUACAAGAAAUUGUUUUAGUAUUCUACUAAGUAUUUUUACUGUUUUGAUCAUGGAAUCGUAAUUCUCAAAUAGGAGAAGUUUUCAUCAAUUUAUGAGGUGAAAUGUAUCUUCACGAAAUUCAUUUUGUAUCCCUAUUUUAUGUAUCAGCAUGUGUCUGCUUCGUGUAAUUGUCCCCCCAAACAGGAGGAGUUAUUAUCAAAUCACAGCCUGAGCUGAUAAGAGAAGAGAAAUGAAUUUACAAAGAAUGCCCGUUUACUAUCACCACAUAACUUCACUGCACGAUCAAUCCUCCCAGCCCCGCGAGCAUCUUGAUCAACAUAUUAUACAUAUGUUCAUCAAGAAGUCUUCACGUUAAGCGCGUUAUUUGUCCCAUGGAGUUUACAAUGUAGAGCGA